rnacentral:rRNA from 1 species
GAUGAACGCUGGCGGCGUGCUUAACACAUGCAAGUCGAACGGUGAAGGCGGAGCUUGCUCUGCUGGAUCAGUGGCGAACGGGUGAGUAACACGUGAGCAAUCUGCCCCUGACUCUGGGAUAAGCGCUGGAAACGGCGUCUAAUACUGGAUACGAGCUGCGAAGGCAUCUUCAGCAGCUGGAAAGAACUUCGGUCAGGGAUGAGCUCGCGGCCUAUCAGCUUGUUGGUGAGGUAACGGCUCACCAAGGCGUCGACGGGUAGCCGGCCUGAGAGGGUGACCGGCCACACUGGGACUGAGACACGGCCCAGACUCCUACGGGAGGGAGCAGGGGGGAAGAGUGCACAAUGGGCGAAAGCCUGAUGGAGCAACGCCGCGUGAGGGACGACGGCCUUCGGGUUGUAAACCUCUUUUAGCAGGGAAGAAGCGAAAGUGACGGUACCUGCAGAAAAAGCGCCGGCUAACUACGUG